rnacentral:rRNA from 1 species
GAUUAUUGGAGGUAGAGCACUGUUUGGACGAGGGGCCCCUCUCGGGUUACCGAAUUCAGACAAACUCCGAAUGCCAAUUAAUUUAACUUGGGAGUCAGAACAUGGGUGAUAAGGUCCGUGUUCGAAAGGGAAACAGCCCAGACCACCAGCUAAGGUCCCAAAAUAUAUGUUAAGUGGAAAAGGAUGUGGCGUUGCCCAGACAACUAGGAUGUUGGCUUAGAAGCAGCCAUCAUUUAAAGAGUGCGUAAUAGCUCACUAGUCGAGUGACACUGCGCCGAAAAUGUACCGGGGCUAAACAUAUUACCGAAGCUGUGGAUUGUCCUUUGGACAAUGGUAGGAGAGCGUUCUAAGGGCGUUGAAGCAUGAUCGUAAGGACAUGUGGAGCGCUUAGAAGUGAGAAUGCCGGUGUGAGUAGCGAAAGACGGGUGAGAAUCCCGUCCACCGAUUGACUAAGGUUUCCAGAGGAAGGCUCGUCCGCUCUGGGUUAGUCGGGUCCUAAGCUGAGGCCGACAGGCGUAGGCGAUGGAUAACAGGUUGAUAUUCCUGUACCACCUAUAAUCGUUUUA